GGGGCAAUAGCUCAGUGGUAGAGCCCCGCUUCGCGUGCGGGGAGACCCGGAUUCGAUCCCCGGUUGCUUCC
rnacentral:tRNA from 1 species